AACCUAAAAAAUAUUGAGAAAAUUACCUUGCAAACAAUGCAGUUGUUCCCAACAGACAUGUCAGCAAGGGAGCAGCACCUAAAAAUAAGUUUCGAGCUUCUUUCUCAAGCCAAUCACCUUGCCCAGAUGACUCACAGCCGUCUAUUAAACGGUCAUGAUCCAUGUUUCCAAUUUUCCAUAAACAAGACAAUUCAUGAACCCUGUCAGCAACGCAGACAAAGAAAACUUAAACAGACACCCCAUAAGGCAGGAUAUAUUGAUAAACAAAGACUAAUGGUUAAAAAAACAUUUCAAGACAGAAGGAUCCUUGGACCUCGAGUUGCUGCAAUGUGGCUCGAUAGAAGCAGUCGAUGACAUAUCUGCAGCAGAGACAAUUUCUUAGUAACAAGAAUCUCCUUCAGCCUUUCUUUCUCUGUCCAACUUCCUCUCAUUCUCUUCAAUGGCUCUCUUUGCUUCUCUAGCUUUCUCCCACUCCUUUUUCACUACUGCUUGGCUCACUUCACUCCAAACCAAAGUAGAUUCACUUGGAAACAAUCCCUGUCGCAGUGAAAAACGACAUAUCUCUUAUGUUCAAAACCAUAGUUCUAAAACUGACUGACUUGAUUCAAAACUCAGCUGAGUCAACUCGAUUCGAGCUGAAUCUCUAGGAAACUCAGUACCAUGCAUUACACGAUUGCAACUUGGUAAGAUCGUCGAGUCGCUUGAUCACUCACUCAUAUUGUAAUUCAAUUCAUAAAGACUACCAAACACCAAAUUGUAAUAUAAAACAUUGUGGUUUUGUACUAUCUUUCCCCCUGGCAUGCCACUUCUGUAGGAUAUUCUAGCUAAGAAAAUUGUAAACCAGCUAUGAUGAAUAUACCCCAAACCAAAAAAAUAAAAAAAUAAA